rnacentral:rRNA from 1 species
UACGUAGGGCGCAAGCGUUGUCCGGAUUUAUUGGGCGUAAAGAGCUCGUAGGCGGUCCGUCACGUCGGCUGUGAAAACCCGAGGCUCAACCUCGGGCCUGCAGUCGAUACGGGCAGACUAGAGUGCGGUAGGGGAGACUGGAAUUCCUGGUGUAGCGGUGAAAUGCGCAGAUAUCAGGAGGAACACCGGUGGCGAAGGCGGGUCUCUGGGCCGUGACUGACGCUGGAGGAGCGAAAGCCGUGGGGAGCAAACAGG